GGUGACACACCCUGGAAUUGGGCUCCCUCCUCUCUGGUUCCAGGUGCGUCACC
rfam:Myotis brandtii contig153261, whole genome shotgun sequence.